CCAACAAUACGCGCUAUCAGUGUGACGUAGACAUUUGAGGUAGGUCAGCACCUUAAAGCUAAACAAUCGCCAUUUUCAAUGCUUUUCUUAUGGGCAUUUAAAAGUUUUUCGUAUUUCUUUAAUGCUAGAAGUGUAGGAACAUUACUUUUACAGAGAAAUGAUAGCUAUGAAAAAUGCAAUGUCGUUUCUUAAAGAUUUUAGCAACUGAGCUAAUAUUUCUUUUUUCUUAAUUUGGACAUCAUAUUGAUGUAAAUUAUUAUGUGGCCUUUUAAAACUGAGGGAAAAAUGGUUUGCCACACUAAUGACAUUGGAUUUCUUCUGAAUGACGAAUUCAUGGGGUGCAACCGGCGCAACCCCAAUAAACGGGUUGUUUUCUGUCCCCCUCCCCCAUCACGAGGGAUGAAUAGCAGGUAUACGAGGGUAGAGGGUUCAGGCACAUACAUGGUUGAAAGUAGUACGGGUUGUGAGUUCUGUGCUUCUUUCGUGAGUGUCUUUUGUUAUCGUGUUUUUUCCGAUCGUUCUCCAUAUCUUCGUGUUCUUGAAUUUUUAAAAUUCUGUUUUUCCAAGACAUUAUCUCAUUUUUGUGGUACAUCAUUAGGUUUUUACAUCACAACUAUGGGAAUGUGUUGGGCUCCAGAUUGCAAACACUAUAGUACUCGCGAUAAAUGCCAUUUUUUUAGUUUUCCUAAGUCGGGAAAAGAACGAGCACUAUGGAAAAAAUUGUUGAGAAGAGAUGUAGAACCCGGACCAGGAGCCUACGUUUGCAGCUGCCAUUUUCGGGAUGGAAGAAAGGAAAAUGGUCCUGAAUUAUUUUUGCACAAUAUCGCAAAAAGAGCCUAUUUUCAAGUGGAAUCUCCAGAAAAAAAAAAGAUGAAAAAACAAGGACUCCCUUCUUGUUCUAGUUCCGCUGAAUCAUUAAGUGUUGAUAUACCGGAAGAAACAGUACCAUCGACAAUGAAUUUAGAGGAAGUGCCAUCGACGUCUACAGCCGUAGUUGCAGCACCAGCAGAUAUAAUUCAAGAUGCUCCGUUAGAAUCUAUGGGUGUGCAAGCACCCUUGGUGUCACAUGCGGCUCUUGAAGCAGAAAUGUAUUUUCUCAAAAAGGAAAAUGCUGAACUUAAAGCAAAAAUACAAUAUCUGACAGUACGAUUUUGCUAUGAAAAUGUUCAAGGAAAUGACAAACUCAUUGUUUUAUAUACCGGUCUUCCCAAUAGCCAGAUUUUCGAAGCAUUGUUUCACUUAAUCGAAAAGUUGGACAUAAAAUAUUACCACAAAUGGACAGUCCAAAAGUUAACUAGAAUUGACCAACUCUUUUUAACCCUAGUAAAAUUACGACUCAAUUUCCCUCAACUUGAUUUGGCGCAACGCUUUGGGGUUGCCCAAAGCACAGUUUCUAAUAUUAUUUUAACAUUUGUCCAUGUAAUAUAUGAAAUUUUAUAUAAACAGUUUAUGACGACAAUGCCUUCGCGCGAAAAAAAUAAAUCUUGCUUGCCAACAUGUUUUAGCAAUUUUACUAAUUGUAGAGCAGUUCUAGAUUGUACCGAAAUUUUCACUGUGGUAUCACGUAAGUCUAUGUCAACACAGAAAUUAACAUAUAGUACUUACAAACAUCAUAAUACUUUCAAAGGGCUAAUUGGAGUUGCACCCAAUGGUGUCAUCACAUUUGUAAGUGAUUUAUACGUGGGAUCAACUUCUGAUCAAAAAGUUGUUUUAAAUUGUGGAAUAAUCGACAUGUUAAAAACUGGAGAUAUGAUUUUAGCCGAUAAGGGAUUUUUGAUCCAAAAUAUUCUGCCACCAGGGGUCACUUUGAAUAUUCCACCUUUUUUAUCAAAUGUCCAAUUUACACCAGAGCAAGUUAAGUGUACCGAAAAUAUUGCACGUGCAAGAAUACACGUCGAAAGGGCAAUACGCCGAUUAAAAUGUUAUCAUAUUUUAAAUUUUUUGCCAGAGUCUUUGUGCCACUAUGGAGAUAUUGUUUUUAAAGCGACUGCCGCUUUAACAAACCUCCAAUUUCCAUUAAUUAAAGAGGUAGCAGAAUUGUUUCAGGAUUGUGAUGAUUAAAAUAAUGUAAAAUAAAAACCAUCUAUUUAUAUACAGUUUAUUAUUGUGAAAUAAAGGAAAUAUAUUGGUCAAGAUAAAAUUCUUUUAAAAUAUUGAUAUUUUCUGACCACCCCGGAUCUUUUUCAAUUUGAAAUAUCUCUGUGCACUUUGGUGUCCACACGACAAAGUAGCAGAUACUUCGACCAGUGAUGUGCAUUUGCCCCUGUACUUGGUGGUAAUAAUUGUGAUUGCUGUUAAGAUUAAUGUCCUCAUUUUCAUCCCUCCAAUAAAAAUAUUUUUUAUCCUUCAGGGCUUCAGACAAACUGUCAGUGUCCCUAUAUUUAUAUGGGCAUUUAAUUUCGAGAAUCCCAUCUUCUUCCACUAAUCCAUCAGGACUUGCUCCCAAAAAGCCUGAUUCUUCCAACCUACAAAAAAAAGUAAUAUUACAUUAUUCAUCUAAGUUAUACGUGUUAAUUAUUUUCGACCUACCAAAAUCCCGUCUCUUGGACUUUAAGAUUCGUCGCUUCUUCAAAUUCUCUGAGCGCUGUCUUCUCGUGGGUCUUACCCCACUGCACAGCAGCAACCCUGUCAAGCGAAUAGCCUUCCGCCAAAUUUUUAAAUAAAGAGGGUGGGAAUCUUCGUCUACUGCAAGCAGAUAGUACCAUGCCAAACCUGCUGGCCGUUAAACGAUGUUUCCUUGCUACAUGCCAAUUUUCGUUAACAUGUUGGCCCCGAGUGCACGCCUCAACCAGUUUAAUGCGUGCCUCAUCUAUUCUGCACUUCUCCAAAAGAAACUUUUGUUUGUCUAUGGCCUGCACGUAUUCUAAGCUUUGUAGAAUUUCUUCGAUAUCUGCAAUAAUUUUUCUGGCUUCUUCACUUGCUUCUGGUCUUAGGAGCCAAGUGAAGCCCACCACAUUCGUGACGCCUAUUUCGGCACGGAACUGAAUAAUUUCGUCCUCAGUAGAGGACCUAGACAGUGCCGUAUAGUUUGAUAAUUUCGGCUUGUAAACAUCAGCUAACUUAAUGACUUCUGUUUGUGGUGUUGUUUUUGAUGGGGCACUCCACUGACACUCAAUGUCAGUAGCACUUACAUUAUAAUGAGCAUAAUAUAAUGCUGCAGCCAUAUGAUGGCAAGCCACGUUGCCCCUUGGGCAGGUACAAUGUGCCGUCUUAACCCCUUCUUCUAGGUCAUAUGAAAUCUAAAACACACUUUGUAGAAGAAAUGUCUAACAGUUAAAUAAAUACAAACCUCCACAGUAUAAUUUAGCUUUUUCAUGCUCGGUAGAACUUCUGCAGAAAUUCUCAUCGGUUGUACUGUGCCAUCAAACCUAAAUUUGGUGACGUGACCGCUGGUAAAAGCAUUUUCUCCCCGAACUAAAAAGCGAUUACCGUCCCCAAAAAAUUUCGCAAUAAAGUGAAACUUAACAAUGUGCUUUUCUGCCACUAAAAUGCAUAAAUAUAAUAGUUUCUCAAAGUAUAAUUAAAGCUUACUCACUUUCUCACCGACAACGUGGUUCCCUGUAUUCUUUUAUAAAGUUCGUAUUUUCACAAAAAGUCACUUCUAAAUUAAAUUAAAGUCUCUAGUGGCACAAAUUACACCCGCUGCAGCUAUUUGACACGUUAUUAACGCACAAACACAACCAAAAAACCGAAAAACGUAUUACACCACAUGUAAAAGACUGGUUGUUUAGCUUUGAGCAACUGACCUACCGUAAUAAGAGUGGGGAGGUGACGUCACGACUGAUAGCGCGUAACGCGCUAUCAGUGUGACGUAGACAUUUGAGGUAGGUCAGCACCUUAAAGCUAAACAAUCGCCAUUUUCAAUGCUUUUCUUAUGGGCAUUUAAAAGUUUUUCGUAUUUCUUUAAUGCUAGAAGUGUAGGAACAUUACUUUUACAGAGAAAUGAUAGCUAUGAAAAAUGCAAUGUCGUUUCUUAAAGAUUUUAGCAACUGAGCUAAUAUUUCUUUUUUCUUAAUUUGGACAUCAUAUUGAUGUAAAUUAUUAUGUGGCCUUUUAAAACUGAGGGAAAAAUGGUUUGCCACACUAAUGACAUUGGAUUUCUUCUGAAUGACGAAUUCAUGGGGUGCAACCGGCGCAACCCCAAUAAACGGGUUGUUUUCUGUCCCCCUCCCCCAUCACGAGGGAUGAAUAGCAGGUAUACGAGGGUAGAGGGUUCAGGCACAUACAUGGUUGAAAGUAGUACGGGUUGUGAGUUCUGUGCUUCUUUCGUGAGUGUCUUUUGUUAUCGUGUUUUUUCCGAUCGUUCUCCAUAUCUUCGUGUUCUUGAAUUUUUAAAAUUCUGUUUUUCCAAGACAUUAUCUCAUUUUUGUGGUACAUCAUUAGGUAUGAUUUGUGAAUAAUAUUUUGUUGCGAUACUUUGAUAGUUCAUGUGUAGUAGGUUUUUACAUCACAACUAUGGGAAUGUGUUGGGCUCCAGAUUGCAAACACUAUAGUACUCGCGAUAAAUGCCAUUUUUUUAGUUUUCCUAAGUCGGGAAAAGAACGAGCACUAUGGAAAAAAUUGUUGAGAAGAGAUGUAGAACCCGGACCAGGAGCCUACGUUUGCAGCUGCCAUUUUCGGGAUGGAAGAAAGGAAAAUGGUCCUGAAUUAUUUUUGCACAAUAUCGCAAAAAGAGCCUAUUUUCAAGUGGAAUCUCCAGAAAAAAAAAAGAUGAAAAAACAAGGACUCCCUUCUUGUUCUAGUUCCGCUGAAUCAUUAAGUGUUGAUAUACCGGAAGAAACAGUACCAUCGACAAUGAAUUUAGAGGAAGUGCCAUCGACGUCUACAGCCGUAGUUGCAGCACCAGCAGAUAUAAUUCAAGAUGCUCCGUUAGAAUCUAUGGGUGUGCAAGCACCCUUGGUGUCACAUGCGGCUCUUGAAGCAGAAAUGUAUUUUCUCAAAAAGGAAAAUGCUGAACUUAAAGCAAAAAUACAAUAUCUGACAGUACGAUUUUGCUAUGAAAAUGUUCAAGGAAAUGACAAACUCAUUGUUUUAUAUACCGGUCUUCCCAAUAGCCAGAUUUUCGAAGCAUUGUUUCACUUAAUCGAAAAGUUGGACAUAAAAUAUUACCACAAAUGGACAGUCCAAAAGUUAACUAGAAUUGACCAACUCUUUUUAACCCUAGUAAAAUUACGACUCAAUUUCCCUCAACUUGAUUUGGCGCAACGCUUUGGGGUUGCCCAAAGCACAGUUUCUAAUAUUAUUUUAACAUUUGUCCAUGUAAUAUAUGAAAUUUUAUAUAAACAGUUUAUGACGACAAUGCCUUCGCGCGAAAAAAAUAAAUCUUGCUUGCCAACAUGUUUUAGCAAUUUUACUAAUUGUAGAGCAGUUCUAGAUUGUACCGAAAUUUUCACUGUGGUAUCACGUAAGUCUAUGUCAACACAGAAAUUAACAUAUAGUACUUACAAACAUCAUAAUACUUUCAAAGGGCUAAUUGGAGUUGCACCCAAUGGUGUCAUCACAUUUGUAAGUGAUUUAUACGUGGGAUCAACUUCUGAUCAAAAAGUUGUUUUAAAUUGUGGAAUAAUCGACAUGUUAAAAACUGGAGAUAUGAUUUUAGCCGAUAAGGGAUUUUUGAUCCAAAAUAUUCUGCCACCAGGGGUCACUUUGAAUAUUCCACCUUUUUUAUCAAAUGUCCAAUUUACACCAGAGCAAGUUAAGUGUACCGAAAAUAUUGCACGUGCAAGAAUACACGUCGAAAGGGCAAUACGCCGAUUAAAAUGUUAUCAUAUUUUAAAUUUUUUGCCAGAGUCUUUGUGCCACUAUGGAGAUAUUGUUUUUAAAGCGACUGCCGCUUUAACAAACCUCCAAUUUCCAUUAAUUAAAGAGGUAGCAGAAUUGUUUCAGGAUUGUGAUGAUUAAAAUAAUGUAAAAUAAAAACCAUCUAUUUAUAUACAGUUUAUUAUUGUGAAAUAAAGGAAAUAUAUUGGUCAAGAUAAAA